UACGUAGGGUGCAAGCGUUUAAUCGGAAUUACUGGGCGUAAAGCGUGCGCAGGCGGCGCGUUUAAGACAGGUGUGAAAGCCCCGAGCUUAACUUGGGAAUUGCGCUUGUGACUGGCGUGCUGGAGUGUGGCAGAGGGAGGUGGAAUUCCACGUGUAGCAGUGAAAUGCGUAGAGAUGGUGGAGGAACACCGAUGGCGAAGGGCAGCCUCCUGGGCCAGCACUGACGCUCAUGCACGAAAGCGUGGGGGAGCAAACAGG
rnacentral:rRNA from 1 species